rnacentral:rRNA from 1 species
UACAGAGGUCUCAAGCGUUGUUCGGAUUCAUUGGGCGUAAAGGGUGCGUAGGUGGCGGGGUAAGUCAGGUGUGAAAUCUCGGGGCUCAACCUCGAAACUGCACUUGAUACUGCUUUGCUAGAGUACUGGAGAGGAGAUUGGAAUUUACGGUGUAGCAGUGAAAUGCGUAGAUAUCGUAAGGAAGACCAGUGGCGAAGGCGAAUCUCUGGACAGUUACUGACACUGAGGCACGAAGGCCAGGGGAGCAAACGGG